GACGAACGCUGGCGGCGUGCUUAACACAUGCAAGUCGAGCGAUGAAGCACCUUCGGGUGUGAAUUAGCGGCGAACGGGUGAGGAACACGUGAAGAAUCUGCCUUCAACUCUGGGAUAACUCCGGGAAACCGGGGCUAAUACCGGAUAUGAGCCUUGAUCGCAUGAUCGGGGCUGGAAAGUUUUUCGGUUGAAGAUGACUUCGCGGCCUAUCAGCUUGUUGGUGAGGUAAUGGCUCACCAAGGCGACGACGGGCAGCCGGCCGGAGAGGGCGACCGGCCACACUGGGACUGAGACACGGCCCAGACUCCUACGGGAGGCAGCAGUGGGGAAUAUUGGGCAAUGGAGGAAACUCUGACCCAGCGACGCCGCGUGAGGGAUGAAGGCCUUCGGGUUGUAAACCUCUUUCAGUAGGGAAGAAGCGAAAGUGACGGUACCUACAGAAGAAGCACCGGCUAACUAUGUGCCAGCCGCCGCUGUAA
rnacentral:rRNA from 1 species